rnacentral:ncRNA from 1 species
GUAAAUGCAUAGAAGAGGAUAAUAAUUGAUUGAUUCAUCUUACCAGAGAACAAGGUCAAUGGCUGGAAACCUUGAGGAAUGAAUGAUCGAUUUACCACCUCUGAGCAGCAUCAGUGAACAGUAGUAGUUGAUGCCGGUAACGGUCCGUUAGCCGCAAUCGAGCUUCGUCUUUCCGAUGCUUUUUUGUCUAGCACUAGCGUCUAGACGCUACCGCUUUUCGGGAGCAUUCGGACAGAAGGAAGAAGGGUGGAACCACGAGCACAGCCUCGUCCCUUUU